rnacentral:rRNA from 1 species
AUUGAACGCUGGCGGCAGGCCUAACACAUGCAAGUCGAGCGGAUGAAGGGAGCUUGCUCCUGGAUUCAGCGGCGGACGGGUGAGUAAUGCCUAGGAAUCUGCCUGGUAGUGGGGGAUAACGUCCGGACACGGGCGCUAAUACCGCAUACGUCCUGAGGGAGAAAGUGGGGGAUCUUCGGACCUCACGCUAUCAGAUGAGCCUAGGUCGGAUUAGCUAGUUGGUGGGGUAAAGGCCUACCAAGGCGACGAUCCGUAACUGGUCUGAGAGGAUGAUCAGUCACACUGGAACUGAGACAGGGUCCAGACUCCUACGGGAGGCAGCAGUGGGGAAUAUUGGACAAUGGGCGAAAGCCUGAUCCAGCCAUGCCGGGUGUGUGAAGAAGGUCUUCGGAUUGUAAAGCACUUUAAGUGGGGAGGAAGGGAAGUAAGUUAAUACCUGGCUGUUUUGACGUUACCAACAGAAUAAGCACCGGCAAACUUCGU